GGUCAAGCUUUGGUAUUACCAGUGGCCCAACCAAUUCCUUGAGUACUGGAAAAGAGUCUGAAUAAAGCCUGAGUGCAGACAGUUAUGUACACUAGAAAAUAAACUGCAGGGCUGUCAAAGCUGAUCCUGGCUUCAGGAAGACCUUCUUAUGCUGGGAAUGUAGAAAACACAGCAGAGGAGAUUGUAAUAGCACAAGUCCUACCCCAUUCACAUUAUUCUCUCACUCUGCCACCUGCCUUUAAUCUGUGAGUGAGGCUUAUUGCUCUUGUGGAUCUCAUCUGCUUAUUUUGUCUUAGUAUUUGCUAAAGUAUAUGG
rnacentral:lncRNA from 1 species